GACUUUCUUAUCAGCGAAGCCGUUCACGAAUCAUCGCUGUCACUUCACUCGGCGCUCGCAUUGAUCACCGCAAGCAGCAUCGCUGAGAACCCGCUGCUUGCAGACGCUGGUAAAGGUUCUGUAUUGAAGAAACAUGGACCUUCAGACAUGGUUAUUUAGUCUGGAUGCUGAUAGGUUAAAUGCCUGCGUAUCUGCCUUUAAGGUAGCAGUGGGCGGCGCUGUGUGCACUGUGCAACUUCUGAAAGACGGUGUUGUUCAAGUAGUCGGCCUUCCCUGCGAUGCCAUCAAAUACUGUUUUCAUGAAUUUUGUGAGCUCGUCAAACACGGGAUCAGCGCGGCGAAGGAUGUCAUCAUCAAAGCCCUGGAUGUAGUUCCGGGCUGGAUCAAGGGCUGGAUACCAUUCAACGCAGCUGCACUUCUGGGAGGAAUGCAUGUUGCUAAGUUGGCCUGAGCGUUGACCCGUGGGAUGGUCGAGUGGAAGACGUCGCAGACCUGCAGGCUUCUCUCUGCCAGCGGCACCAGCAAUCAACGGGUGGCUCCUUUGUGUCGGACGUGCAAGGGCUUGUGAUCAUCGUCUGGUGACGUUAACGUCUCAUCUGGCCGUCGCCGUCAUUUAAUGUUACCUACUUUAUGAAUCAGCCUAGAUCUCAGGCCUCAGUUGACGCCCAGGGAGAUGUAGCAAUGACAUUAUUUGCAGAAUGAAUGAUACCGAAUCUGACCUACCCGGGAUAACCUUCACUCGUAAUCCGUUUAAUUUCCAGCCGGUUAGCGUAAAGCUGAUGUUCAUUUGCAUAAAUAAUACGGAAAACAGCUGUGUUUCGUGAAAAUCCUAACUAUAACUUAUAACUUAUAGUUACAUAGAUUUUACCCGUCUAAGAUUACUUACGCUAAAGGGUUACGAUAUUAACUUCAGACGUUUUCAUAUUGAUUUGAUUCAGUGCAUUUAUCGUAAAAUAGGUAAAGUUGAUGCGUAUGGAGCUUGAUUUGAUGUGCUUGCGGGGUAAUAUGAUGCGUGUCAACUGCAGGCAAUGCAGGCAAUGCAAUGCAGUUUCGUCACUGUAUGUGAUACAGAAAUAGGUACAAGUAGGUAAGUACAACAAGCUGACAUUCACUGUAAUACACGUCCAAGAAAAUGUG